CUUGCUAGAUUGAUGGCGAGUGGCGAACGGGUGAGUAAUACAUCGGAACGUGCCCUGUAGUGGGGGAUAACUAGUCGAAAGAUUAGCUAAUACCGCAUACGACCUGAGGGUGAAAGUGGGGGACCGCAAGGCCUCAUGCUAUAGGAGCGGCCGAUGUCUGAUUAGCUAGUUGGUGGGGUAAAGGCCCACCAAGGCGACGAUCAGUAGCUGGUCUGAGAGGACGAUCAGCCACACUGGGACUGAGACACGGCCCAGACUCCUACGGGAGGCAGCAGUGGGGAAUUUUGGACAAUGGGCGAAAGCCUGAUCCAGCAAUGCCGCGUGUGUGAAGAAGGCCUUCGGGUUGUAAAGCACUUUUGUCCGGAAAGAAAUGGCUCUGGUUAAUACCUGGGGUCGAUGACGGUACCGGAAGAAUAAGGACCGGCUAACUACGUGCCAGCAGCCGCGGUAAUACGUAGGGUCCAAGCGUUAAUCGGAAUUACUGGGCGUAAAGCGUGCGCAGGCGGUUGUGCAAGACCGAUGUGAAAUCCCCGAGCUUAACUUGGGAAUUGCAUUGGUGACUGCACGGCUAGAGUGUGUCAGAGGGGGGUAGAAUUCCACGUGUAGCAGUGAAAUGCGUAGAGAUGUGGAGGAAUACCGAUGGCGAAGGCAGCCCCCUGGGAUAACACUGACGCUCAUGCACGAAAGCGUGGGGAGCAAACAGGAUUAGAUACCCUGGUAGUCCACGCCCUAAACGAUGUCAACUAGUUGUUGGGGAUUCAUUUCCUUAGUAACGUAGCUAACGCGUGAAGUUGACCGCCUGGGGAGUACGGUCGCAAGAUUAAAACUCAAAGGAAUUGACGGGGACCCGCACAAGCGGUGGAUGAUGUGGAUUAAUUCGAUGCAACGCGAAAAACCUUA
rnacentral:rRNA from 1 species